rnacentral:rRNA from 1 species
GAGCGAACGCUGGCGGCGUACUUAACACAUGCAAGUCGAACGGGGAUCAUCGGGUUAGCAAUAACUCGGUGGUCCUAGUGGCGCACGGGUGAGUAACACGUGGGUAACCUGCCCUGGAGACCGGGAUACCCCUCGAAAGGGGGCUAAUACCGGAUACGUUCCCUGGAUCGAGAGGUCUGGGGAGGAAAGGUGGCGAAAGCUGCCGCUCUUGGAGGGGCUCGCGGCCUAUCAGCUAGUUGGCGGGUAA